rnacentral:lncRNA from 1 species
AAGCCUAUCGCCGGUUUCCACCCCUCUUCCUAAAUCCCUACCAGGAUACCACCUCCUAUCGCCGGUUUCCGACUGAAAGGUUAGUAAAUAUCGGCUCCGGUCAACACAUCCGGUUGACUAUUCCGGGCCCCACCGACGAUGCGUCUGCUUGUCAUCGUACCGCUAAAAAUCUCUCCCUUUAAUGCAUCAGGAAAUCACAGCCGUUGGUUUUCUAGCGAAGCUUCCGGGAACGUCACCUACUGACGUGGUGGCGGCAUCACCCGGCGAAUCUCGACCUUCCGAUCACCGCUGACUGGGUGGGCCCGGUCAAUUACUGUCCGUCCGAUUUCUACUGGACCCUCCUCAUCGGACGGCGAAGAUCCGUCCCGAGCGCGAUCACGCUAGACACAGUCACGGAACUUCCGAGAAGGUAGGGCCCGCACCCCGCGCCUGUUAUCCCACUGCCCCAUGCCACGUGGCGAAAUUGUGUAAGCACUGGGCGCUGCCACGUGCGUCCCACGUCCUUAACCCACGGCCACUAUUUAACCCGACCCUU